UACGUAGGGUGCGAGCGUUAAUCGGAAUUACUGGGCGUAAAGCGUGCGCAGGCGGUCUGUUAAGACCGAUGUGAAAUCCCCGGGCUUAACCUGGGGAACUGCAUUGGUGACUGGCAGGCUUUGAGUGUGGCAGAGGGAGGUAGAAUUCCACGUGUAGCAGUGAAAUGCGUAGAGAUGUGGAGGAAUACCGAUGGCGAAGGCAGCCUCCUGGGCCAACACUGACGCUCAUGCACGAAAGCGUGGGGAGCAAACAGG
rnacentral:rRNA from 1 species